UGAAAUAAGGCCUCCCCCCGGGGCGCCCGCCCCCGCCCGCGCUGCCCAGGCCCCAGGUCACCCUGGAGGGUCCAGGUGCGGGCCCCGCGCACAGCAGCCUCUCCCCGGGCGGGCGAGGGCUCUCUCCCUUUCCAGCGCUGCCCCAGGCACUCGGGGAUCGGGACCCAGCCAACGGCCCCAGUCCCAGGCGGGGGCCGAGCUGGCCCGAGAAGCUCUCCCCCUCCAGGGCAGAGAGCGUCCCCUCCCCCACGUGGAAAAGCAAACCCAGACCCCCCUGCCCUACUAAAAACUUGUCCCUCUCCUUUCUCGGUGUCCAUGGUGGGUCUGGUUCCCACCGCUCCCUCCCUCCCCGCACAGUCUGAGACCCCCCCCCCCGGGCCGCCCCGUCGAUCCCAGGUGAUGGAUGGAGCCUUCAGGGAGCCCGCGCGGGCGGGCUAGGCUCGGGCGGAAAUGAAGAGGAUAAGAUCUGCGAGCAGAGCCGCCUGACACCGUGAUAUCCGCCUGGCUCGCUGCGCUCCGGGUGAUGGAUGGGGCGGAGCUCCCCACCCCCCAGCCCCGGAACCUGGCGCCCCUCCCAGAAACACCGCCCGGCUGCCACACAUGCGGCCGCCGGACUCCCAGCCACCGGCGCACUCACGCGGCGCCCGCCACGCAUCAGCCCGGCGCGCACGAAGGGAACCGUUCCUCUUCCCAGUCCCCUGGCGCUAGCACCAGCAGGACUGCCCUUAGCGCACACAACACCUUACCCACUUGCCCAUCACACAGCCUCUUCCGCGCACGCACAUACACAUGCAUGCAAGCUGCACGCCACCCCUCCCGCCCCCCAAACAUGUGUUCUUUCCUGAGUCUUGGAGCCACUCAGGAAGAGGGUUUGACUACAGUGAAACUCAGCCCUGGGCGGGGGUCCUGGGACAGGGAACAGAACAGCAAUUGCUAAUUGUGCUCAGCAUCUUGUUCGGCCACUGAACAGGUCGGGCUUGGCAUGGACCACGGCAGCUGAGGCACCAGGACUGUCCGAGCAGGCCUCACCAUCAGUGUUACCAUGGUUACCAUCUUCCUAGCAUUAUCACUCAGCGACAUCGUCGUUACCAUGGUUACAGCAAAAUGGCUCUGGCGCAUACACUAAGGAGUGGAAUUGCUUGGUGCCAAGUUUUAAUGACUGUAUCCGUAUAAGAAAUCUUGAUGGUGGGCAGAUGCAACAGAGACUGGCUAGCUCUUCACUACACCUAUUUCCUCUUGUUCUUGGUACCACAACUGGGCUCCAUCUCACAACCUCUCUUGUAAGUAGAUGUGGCCACUUAAGUGAGUUCUGACCACUGAUGUGAAUGGAAACAACGUACACCAUUUCUAGGCAUUGCCUAUAAAAUGUCCCAUGCAUGACCCUUCAUCCUCUUUCUCCUCCCACCACCUUGAUGCAAACAAGCAUGAUGACCUUGAAAGAUGGGAUCCCAGAAUGGAAGAAGCCUGAGUCUCCAAAUUGUUAUGUAAAGAAAGCUGCCCACUGAAAAGAAAUGUCCAUUUUGGAUUUUACACCAGCUGGAAAUAAAUUAUUAUUAUUAUUUUCUUUUUGGAUGGAGUCUUGGUCUGUUGCCAGGCUGGAGUGCAG